rnacentral:rRNA from 1 species
CACGUAGGUGGCGACGUAAGUCGGGUGUGAAAGCCCCGGGCUCAACCUGGGAAUUGCAUUCGAGACUGCAUUGCUGGAGUACGGAAGAGGAGGGCGGAAUUCCCGGUGUAGCGGUGAAAUGCGUAGAUAUCGGGAGGAACAUCAGUGGCGAAGGCGGCCCUCUGGUCCAGUACUGACACUCAAGUGCGAAAGCGUGGGGAGCAAACA